rnacentral:rRNA from 1 species
UACGGGGGGUGCGAGCGUUGUCCGGAAUCACUGGGCGUAAAGGGCGCGUAGGUGGCUUGGUAAGCGUGUGGUGAAAGCCCGGGGCUCAACCCCGGGUCUGCCAUGCGAACUGCUAUGGCUUGAGCACUGUAGAGGCAGGUAGAAUUCCGGGUGUAGCGGUGGAAUGCGUAGAGAUCCGGAAGAAUACCGGUGGCGAAGGCGGCCUGCUGGGCAGUGGCUGACACUGAGGCGCGACAGCGUGGGGGGCAAACAGG